UACGUAGGGGGCAAACGUUGUCCGGAUUUACUGGGUGUAAAGGGUGCUCAGGCGGUUUUGUAAGUCAGAAGUGAAAUCCUAGAGCUUAACUCUGGAACUGCUUUUGGUACUGGCAAGCUAGAGUCCGGAAGAGGUAAGUGGAACUCCUAGUGUAGAGGUGGAAUUCGUAGAUAUUAGGAAGAACACCAGUGGCGAAGGCGACUGACUGGACAAGUAUUGACGCUGAGGUGCGAAAGCGUGGGGAGCAAAC
rnacentral:rRNA from 1 species